rnacentral:rRNA from 1 species
GAUGAACGCUGGCGGCGUGCCUAAUACAUGCAAGUUGAGCGAACAGACGAGGAGCUUGCUCCUCUGACGUUAGCGGCGGACGGGUGAGUAACACGUGGAUAACCUACCUAUAAGACUGGGAUAACUUCGGGAAACCGGAGCUAAUACCGGAUAAUAUAUUGAACUGCAUGGUUCAAUAGUGAAAGACGGUUUUGCUGUAACUUAUAGAUGGAUCCGCGCCGCAUUAGCUAGUUGGUAAGGUAACGGCUUACCAAGGCAACGAUGCGUAGCCGACCUGAGAGGGUGAUCGGCCACGCUGGAGCUGAGACACGGUCCAGACUCCUACGGGAGGCAGCAGUAGGGAAUCUUCCGCAAUGGGCGAAAGCUUGACGGAGCAACGCCGCGUGAGUGAUGAAGGUCUUCGGAUCGUAAAACUCUGUUAUUAGGGAAGAACAAAUGUGUAAGUAACUAUGCACGUCUUGACGGUGCCUAAUCAGAAAGCCACGGCUAACUACGUG